rnacentral:rRNA from 1 species
ACACGACUACAUUAGAUACCCGCGUAGUCCUAGCCGUAAACGAUACUCGCUAGGUGUCGGCCACGGUGCGACCGUUGUCGGUGCCGUAGGGAAGCCGUGAAGCGAGCCACCUGGGAAGUACGGCCGCAAGGCUGAAACUUAAAGGAAUUGGCGGGGGAGCACCACAACGGGUGGAGCUUGCGGUUUAAUUGGAUUCAACGCCGGAAAUCUUACCGGGACCGACAGCAACAUGAAGGCCAAGCUGAAGACUUUGCCGGAUUAGCUG